UCACCUGUUUUUCAAAAACAUGUCUUUUAGAAAUUAAUUUAAAGUCAAAUCUGCCCAAUGAAUUAAAUUUUAAUGGCUGCAGUAAUUUAACUGUACAAAGGUAGCAUAAUAAUUUGUUUUUUAAUUAAAAACUAGUAUGAAAGAUUUGAUGAAAUAAAAUCUGUUUCAAUUAAAUUUAAAUUUAAAUUUUUAUUUAAGUAAAAAAACUUAAAUUUUUUUUAAAGACGAUAAGACCCUAUAGAAUUUUAUUUAUUAAUUAAAUUAAUUUUUUAAUAAAUUUAAUUGGGGAAAUAAAAAAAUUUAAUUAACUUUUUUUAAAAAAUACAUUAUUUUAUGUAUAAAAAUAAAAUUAUCUUAAAUUUUAAAUUUAAAAAAUUAAUUACCUUAGGGAUAACAGCAUAAUUUUUUUUGAAAGUUCAUAUUUAUAAAAAAGUUUAUGACCUCG
rnacentral:rRNA from 1 species